rnacentral:rRNA from 1 species
GUCGAGGGGUACAUUGUAGCUUGCUACAGAUGACGACCGGCGCACGGGUGCGUAACGCGUAUAGAAUCUGCCUCAUACUGAGGGAUAGCCUUUGGAAACGAAGAUUAAUACCUCAUGGUAUCAUUAGAUGGCAUCAUUUAGUGAUUAAAGGUUACGGUAUGAGAUGACUAUGCGUCCUAUUAGCUUGUCGGUAAGGUAACGGCUUACCAAGGCAACGAUAGGUAGGGGCCCUGAGAGGGGGAUCCCCCACACUGGUACUGAGACACGGACCAGACCCCUACGGGAGGCAGCAGUGAGGAAUAUUGGACAAUGGAGGCAACUCUGAUCCAGCCAUGCCGCGUGAAGGAUGACUGCCCUAUGGGUUGUAAACUUCUUUUAUAUAGGAAGAAACAGUUUCUCGUGAGAAACCUUGACGGUACUAUAUGAAUAAGCACCGGCUAACUCCGUGCCAGCAGCCGCGGUAAUACGGAGGGUGCAAGCGUUAUCCGGAAUCAUUGGGUUUAAAGGGUCCGUAGGCGGAUAGAUAAGUCGGAGGUGAAAUCCUGCAGCUCAACUGUAGAAUUGCCUUUGAUACUGUUUAUCUUGAGUUAUUGUGAAGUGGUUAGAAUAUGUAGUGUAGCGGUGAAAUGCUUAGAGAUUACAUGGAAUACCGAUUGCGAAGGCAGAUCACUAACAAUAUACUGACGCUGAUGGACGAAAGCGUGGGGAGCGAACGGGAUUAGAUACCCCGGUAGUCCACGCCGUANACGAUGGAUACUAGCUGUUCGGAAUUUAUUCUGAGUGGCCAAGCGAAAGUGAUAAGUAUCCCACCUGGGGAGUACGUUCGCAAGAAUGAAACUCAAAGGAAUUGACGGGGGCCCGCACAAGCGGUGGAGCAU